GAGAAAGAGGACAUCUGAGAGAGAGGAAAACAGAAAGAGAAAGAGGACAUCUGAGAGAGAGGAAAACAGAAAGAGAAAGAGGACAUCUGAGAGAGAGGAAAACAGAAAGAGAAAGAGGACAUCUGAGAGAGACGGAAACCGAAAGAGAAAGAGGACAUCUGAGAGAGAGGGAAAACAGAAAUAGAACAUCUGAGAGAGAGGGAAAGAGAAAGAGGACACCUGAGAGAGAGGGAAAGAGAAAGAGGACACCUGAGAGAGAGGGAAACCGAAAGAGAAAGAGGACAUCUGAGAGAGACGGAACCCGAAAAAGAACAUCUGAGAGAGAGGGAAACCCGAAAGAGAAAUAGAACAUCUGAGAGAGAGGGAAACAGAAAGACAAAGAAAACAUCUGAGAGAGAGGGACACCGAAAGAUAAAGACCAGAGCUCCAGGCAGCCCCAGACACGGCCCUGUGUCUAUUAAUCACCAGCUCAGCUAGUCUCAUAACACCAGAUCAGAUAAGACGGCCUGUCGUCACACAGGUGGAAGUAAUGACUGGGAUGUGGCGGCGUCCAAUACGGGCUUGUCCGACGCCAGAGAUCUGGACUGACAAAGAUCCGCGUGGCCCUGAAAACAGAGAGACACUGUCAGGCCUUUGACUGAUUACAGCUUGAGUGAAAAGUGCGAGGGAAGAGGAGGACGGAGUACAGAGACAGUCCAACUCGGAUGCAUCACGUCUGUGUUUUGGGUUCACCAUUAGGGUUAGGCACGAAGUACCAGCAUUAACAGUUCAAAGUACAACACAUGACUAUAUUACUUGAUGUAAUGGUUAGAGUGUUGGAUUAGUAACCAAAAGGUUGCAAGAUCAAAUCCCCGAGCUGACAAGGUAAAAAUCUGUCAUUAUGCCCCUGAACAAGGCAGUUAACCCACUGUUCCUAGGCCAUCAUUGAAAAUAAGAAUUUGUUCUUAACUGACUUGCCUAGUUAAAUAAAGAUAAAAUAAAUAAAAAUGUAUGGCCCAUGUCUACUGUUCAUAUUUGUCACUAGAAGUUCCAUUAAUGAAUCUGCAAACCCCAUUGUUUUAAUUCCAUGCUAGACAUAUUCUUUGUUUGGGGUAAAUCGAAAGUAUAUUUCAAAAGGAAAUGCAUUUUGAAUGGCAGGAAAGACAUUUUAUUCAAUCAAACAUUGCCGAAAUAUUGUAUGUUUCAUCUGGAGAAUAUUUAAAUAAGUAGAGAUGGUGAGCAUAAAGGAAUGUGACUCCUUGACGUUGUUGAACGUUUCAUCUGUGGACUGGAGACAAAAUGUCACAUUUGCACGCUUGCUGCAACCACCCACUCCAUAUAUCAAGCCACUGGGUGAUCAAAAGUUGUUUUAAUAGGGAUACUGCACCAGGAGGAGUUUAAUUACGAACCUAAAAUACUUACAAAUGAUGGUGGUGAUAAGAAGGAGAAUUCACAAGGGGAUUGCUCAGCCUGAGCUUGGAUUUAUUCAGAGUUCAUGGAGUCGCUGCCUUAUUUGUGUUGGGGAUUUUAGAAACCAAGCUGUAGCUUGGAGGCACAAAUCAAUAAGGUGUAAUAGAUCUGAAAAUGAAGCAAUGCCAGUGUCCCCAAUGUCAAUGAAUCUGCUUAUCUGUGUCUAGCAAGCUACAGUCGGCAUGUCCAUGUGACGCCAACCCACCUGUAGAUCAGGGAUAUUAGAACGCUGUUUCUGUGUGCCAGACUAAACACCCUAGAGUUCAAUCCUUCGCUGUUGAGUCACCACCGAUAUUUUCACUGCAGGUAGGCCUACAGGGACAAAGGUAUUGGGCUUUAGGGGCCAUGCUUAAGUGAAGGGGUAGAAACGGGACUUCAACCAUACUCUAAAUGAGAUACAUUUCAUUGAAAAUCAUGCCAGGGUGUGCAUCUAAACUGG
ensembl:lncRNA